rnacentral:lncRNA from 1 species
GUGAGAUAUAGUCUCAAAUGCUGCUGAAAGUUUGAGAAGGAACUCCUUUCCGUAAUCACGAAACUAUCAUUCUGAAUCACCUCUUAAAAACAUCAUCUGCAGUGACAUAAUAACAUUCCUUAGAAGUGGCUACUGUUGCAACAAUCUGUCUCCUUAAACCUUAUCACAGCGCAAGGCUUUUGAGAAGCAACGCAUGACAGCCACCGGGAAAUCUUCACAGCAAGAUGAGGUCUCACAAUCAAUGGCCGCCUGUGAGGAGCCACACGUACACGCUGCACUGACAAUGUCACAGCUCGCUUCUGCCUGUGAACUACACCCUUGCCUUUUGCUUCCCCACACAGGCUCU